GUAGAUUCAUUGGAAAAUAAAUCUAAGAAUGAAAUACUCAGUUACAUUGAAUUAUUCCGUUUUAGGCAUUCUUUGUAAACCCUUGAAAUAACACUUAUUAAAGAAAUUCACACAUCUACCUUUUGUAUCAGGGUUUUUUAAAUAUAAUAACAAAAUAACAAUCUCGAAAUAAUAAUGUACUAUGACUGCCUUAUGCUUGUUUCACAAAACAUAAUAAAACUCUUAGAAACGAAAUAUUACCGAAUAUUAUAUUACCUAGUUACUUACUUAUAUAAUAAUUACAAUAUAAAGGAUAAGCUUUUUAUUUAUAUAAACACCUAUUAUAUUAAUAUAAAUUAAGCUUAAUAUUAGCCAAAUUAAUAAAUUUUUAUAAAUAAUUAUAAAAAUAACCAUAAUCGUUAAUAAAAUUAAGUUAUAAUCUAUAUAAAAAAAAAUCAUCAACAAUAAAAAAAUAAGUACUAUUUAUCUAUCAUUAAAUUAAACUCAAUAAUAACUUGAAAGUUUAACAAAAACAUUUUUUUUUUAUAAUUAAAAAUAAAACCUGCCCAGUGAGUAAUUAAACGGCUGCGGUAUUUUGACUGUACUAAGGUAGCAUAAUCAUUUGUUUUUUAAUUAAAAACUAGAAUGAACGGUUUUACAAUUUAUUUUAUUUAACUUAAUAAUUUUAGUAAUUUAUAUUUUAAGUAAAAAUACCAAAAUACUAUAAAGGGACGAUAAGACCCUAAAACCUAAUUUAUUACUAAAUGAACAAAAUCAUAAUUUUAAAUAAAUUUAAUUGGGGUAAUUUAAAUAACUAUAUUAUUUUAAAUCAUAAACAUAAUACUUGAUUAUUAGCUCUUUUAUAUAAAGAAAAAUAAUAAAAGCUACUUUAGGGUUAACAGCGUAAUAAUUUUUGAAAGGUCAUAUUUAUAAAAUUGAUUACGACCUCGAUGUUGAAUUAAAAACUCUAUUUAUUGCAAAAGAUAAAUAAGAAGGUUGUCAACC
rnacentral:rRNA from 1 species